rnacentral:rRNA from 1 species
ACUUAAGUAGACUGCCGGUGUUAAACCGGAGGAAGGUGGGGAUGACGUCAAGUCCUCAUGGCCUUUAUGCUUAGGGCUACACACGUGCUACAAUGGGUGGUACAAAGAGAAGCCAACUCGCGAGAGCGCGCCAAUCUCAAAAAGCCAUCCUCAGUUCGGAUUGGAGUCUGCAACUCGACUCCAUGAAGUUGGAGUUGCUAGUAACCGUGGGUCAGCAUACCGCGGUGAAUAUGUUCUCGGGCCUU